UACGCAACACAAAAGAAGGAAAGAAAGAAGGAAAGAAAGAAAGAAAGAAA
rnacentral:ribozyme from 1 species